GUCGCUGACGAAUCCCAAAUAGGACGAAACACACGUCCUGGAU
rnacentral:hammerhead_ribozyme from 1 species